CAUCCUACGGGAGGCAGCAGUGGGGAGUAUUGCACAAUGGGGGAAACCCUGAUGCAGCGACGCCGCGUGAGUGAAGAAGUAUUUCGGUAUGUAAAGCUCUAUCAGCAGGAACGAGACAAGACGGUACCUGACUAAGAAGCCCCGGCUAACUACGUGCAAGCAGCCGCGGUAAUACGUAGGGGGCAAGCGUUAUCCGGAAUCACUGGGUGUAAAGUGAGCGUAGACGGCUGGGCAAGCCUGAAGUGAAAGGCGGGGGCCCAACCCCUGGACUGCUUUGGGGACUGGACGGCUGGAGUGCAGGAGAG
rnacentral:rRNA from 1 species